GCUUACGGCCAUACCAGCCUGAAAGCGCCCGAUCUCAUCAGAUCUCGGGAGCUAAGCAAGGUCGGGCCUGGUUAGUACUUGGAUGGGAGACUUCCUGGGAAUACCAGGUGCUGUAAGCA
rnacentral:rRNA from 1 species